rnacentral:rRNA from 1 species
UACGUAGGGGGCAAGCGUUGUCCGGAUUUAUUGGGCGUAAAGCGCGUGUAGGCGGCCAGGUAGGUCCGUUGUGAAAACUCGAGGCUCAACCUCGAGACGCCGGUGGAAACCAUCUAGCUAGAGUCCGGAAGAGGAGAGUGGAAUUCCUGGUGUAGCGGUGAAAUGCGCAGAUAUCAGGAAGAACACCCGUGGCGAAGGCGGCUCUCUGGGACGUGACUGACGCUGAGACGCGAAAGCGUGGGGAGCGAACAGG